rnacentral:rRNA from 1 species
UACGGAGGGUGCGAGCGUUGUCCGGAAUCACUGGGCGUAAAGGGCGCGUAGGCGGCGCGGGGAGUCAACGGUGAAAGCUCGGCGCUCAACGCCGAGUCGGCCGUCGAUACUCCCGUGCUCGAGCACUGUAGAGGCAGGUGGAAUUCCGGGUGUAGGCGGUGGAAUGCGUAGAGAUCCGGAAGAACACCGGUGGCGAAGGCGGCCUGCUGG